rnacentral:rRNA from 1 species
UGGGGAAUAUUGGGCAAUGGGCGAAAGCCUGACCCAGCAACGCCGCGUGAAGGAAGAAGGUCUUCGGAUUGUAAACUUUUGUCUUAUGGGAAGAUAAUGACGGUACCAUAGGAGGAAGCCACGACUAACUACGUGCCAGCAGUCGCGGUAAUACGUAGGUGGCAAGCGUUAUCCGGAAUUAUUGGGUGUAAAGGGUGCGUAGGCGGGGUAUAAAGUCAGGUGUGAAAUUUGAGAGCUUAACUCUCAAACUGCAUUUGAAACUUAUACUCUUGAGUGAAGUAGGGGCAAGCGGAAUUCCCGGUGUAGCGGUGGAAUGCGUAGAUAUCGGGAGGAACACCAGUGGCGAAGGCGGCUUGCUGGGCUUUUACUGACGCUGAGGCACGAAAGUGUGGGGAGCAAACA